rnacentral:rRNA from 1 species
AUUGAACGCUGGCGGCAGGCCUAACACAUGCAAGUCGAACGAGUGGCGGACGGGUGAGUAAUUUAUGGGAACAUGCCUGAAGGCGGGGGAUAACUACUGGAAAGGGUAGAUAAACCCGCAUACCACCGAAUGUGCCCCGAUGGGAUUAGCUAGUGGGUGGGGUAAAGGCUCACCUAGGCGACGAUCCCUAGCUGGUCUGAGAGGAGGACCAGCCACACUGGAACUGAGACACGGUCCAGACUCCGACGGGAGGCAGCAGUGGGGAAGAUUGCACAAUGGGCGCAAGCCUGAUGCAGCCAUGCCGCGUGUAUGAAGAAGGCCUUCGGGUUGUAAAGUACUUUCAGCGGGGAGGCGUUACCCGCAGAAGAAGCACCGGCUAACUCCGUGCCAGCCGCCGCGGUAAUUC